GACGUAGGGGGCGAGCGUUGUCCGGAUUUAUUGGGCGUAAAGGGUGCGUAGGCGGCGCGGUAAGUCGGGUGUGAAAUCUCGGAGCUUAACUCCGAAACUGCAUUCGAUACUACCGUGCUUGAGGACUGGAGAGGAGACUGGAAUUUACGGUGUAGCGGUGAAAUGCGUAGAUAUCGGAAGGAACACCAGUGGCGAAAGCGGCUUCCUGGUCCAGCACCGACGUCAGGCACGAAAGCGUGGGGAGCAAACAGG
rnacentral:rRNA from 1 species